UUAAAGUUUGAUUUUGGUUUUGAUAUUAACGUUAUUUUUUUUUUGCAUGUGAAUUUUUAUUAAAUUAGAAAUAUUUUUUGCAGCAUUUAAUUUUAAUAAUUAAAGAAAUUUAGAAUUAUGAAUUAUAUUUUAAAUACAGACAAAAAAAUUGUGCCAGCAGUAGCGGUUAAACGUUUUUGUAUAAGUUAAUAUAUUUUAAUUGGUAGAUUAUAUUUUAUUUAUUUAUAUAUUAUUAAAAAAAAUUUUAUGGUGAAAUUAAAUUUUUUUUUUAUAUAUAUAUAUAUAUAUAUAUAUUUAUUUUUCUAUGAAAUCUAAAUUUUAAACUAGGAUUAGAUACCCUAUUAUUUUAGAUGUAUUUUUUAUUUUAAUUAUUAAUAGUUAUGUUCUUUAAAAUUAAAAAAGUUGGCUGUAUUUAAAACUAAUUAGGGGAAUUUGUUUAUAAAACGAUGAUCCGCGAUAAAUCUUACUUUAAUUUAUUAAAUUUAUUUAUUUUCGUUAUUAGAAUAUUUUUUGAGAAAUUUAAAUUUUCAUAAAGAUUAAAAAAAAUUUUAUUUCAGAUCAAGAUGUAGUUUAUAUUAAAGUUUAAAUGAAUUACAAUAAAAUUAUUAUUUUUGGAUAUUAAGUUGAAAAAUUUAAUUGAAAUUGGACUUAAUAGUAAAAUUUAAAAUUAUGUUUAUUUGAAUUUAGAAUUAAAUAUGUACAAAUCGCCCGUCACUCUCAUUUUAAAAUGGGAUAAGUCGUAACAAAGUAAAUAUACUGGAAAGUGUAUUUAGAAUU
rnacentral:ncRNA from 1 species